UACAGAGGUCCCGAGCGUGUUCGGAUUCAUUGGGCGUAAAGAGCUCGUAGGCGGCUUGUCACGUCGGGUGUGAAAGACCGGGGCUUAACUCCGGUUCUGCAUUCGAUACGGGCUAGGCUAGAGUGUGGUAGGGGAGAUCGGAAUUCCUGGUGUAGCGGUGAAAUGCGCAGAUAUCAGGAGGAACACCGGUGGCGAAGGCGGAUCUCUGGGCCAUUACUGACGCUGAGGAGCGAAAGCGUGGGGAGCGAACAGG
rnacentral:rRNA from 1 species